rnacentral:rRNA from 1 species
AUGUGUGAGGUACUCGGAAUUGAGGAUGAGACUGAGGAUGCUCAACCAGUAAAUGAGCCCGUUCCGGUUGUUGCCGGCCAUGUUAGUGAUGAGUUAAUGGCUGAAGGAGCUAUAUCAGUUGAUGAUCACGUUCCCGAGGAGAUAGAAAUGUCAUAUGACAAAGAUUAUCCUAAAGUUGAGAAAGGCUCAAUCUUUCCAACAAUGAUAGAUUGUAGGAGGGCUGUGAGGCAAUGGGCAAUUAAUGAAGAAUUUAACCUCGGAACUCACAGAGCUAAUAAGAGUAUGUGGAUGGCACAUUGUAUGGCUGAGGAUUGUCCAUGGAAAAUAACAUGUCGUUUGAUGGCUGAUAAGACAAAGACCAGGGUACCAACAUAA